rnacentral:rRNA from 1 species
GGUAUUUUGACUAUACGAAGGUAUUGAAAUAAGAUUUUAAAUGAGUGCUAAGAGAAUGAUUAAACAAUUAAAAGCUUUCUUUAAUUGAAUAAUUGAAUUUAAUUUUUUAGUGCAAAAGCAAAAAUAAAAAUUAGGGACAAGAAGACCCUAUGAAUUUUUUAUUAAAUUUUAUAAAACUUUAUAUAAAAUUUAAUUUAAUUGGGGUGAUGGAAAAAGAAUAAAUAUCUUUUUUUAAAAGAAAAUUGGUUCCGUUCUUAGCGAUUAAAUGAAAAAAAUACUCUAGGGAUAACAGCGUAAUAAUUUUGGAUAGUUCAUAUAGAUAAAAUAGUUUGCGACCUCGAUGUUGGAUUAGGAUUCUUUUUUGGUGAAGAAGU